rnacentral:rRNA from 1 species
GACGAACGCUGGCGGCGUGCCUAAUACAUGCAAGUCGAGCGCGGGAAAUCGACGGAACCCUUCGGGGGGAAGUCGACGGAAUGAGCGGCGGACGGGUAAGUAACACGUAAAGAACCUGCCCUCAGGUCUGGGAUAACCACGAGAAAUCGGGGCUAAUACCGGAUGGGUCAUCGGACCGCAUGGUCCGAGGAUGAAAGGCGCUUCGGCGCCGCCUGGGGAUGGCUUUGCGGUGCAUUAGCUAGUUGGUGGGGUAAUGGCCCACCAAGGCGACGAUGCAUAGCCGACCUGAGAGGGUGAUCGGCCACACUGGGACUGAGACACGGCCCAGACUCCUACGGGAGGCAGCAGUAGGGAAUCUUCCACAAUGGACGAAAGUCUGAUGGAGCAACGCCGCGCGAACGAUGAAGGCCUUCGGGUCGUAAAGUUCUGUUGUAAGGGAAGAACAAGUGCCGCAGGCAAUGGCGGCACCUUGACGGUACCUUGCGAGAAAGCCACGGCUAACUACGUGCCAGCAGCCGCAGUAA